rnacentral:rRNA from 1 species
GAUGAAGGGGGCUAGCGUUGUUCGGAAUCACUGGGCGUAAAGGGUGCGUAGGCGGGUCUUUAAGUCAGGGGUGAAAUCCUGGAGCUCAACUCCAGAACUGCCUUUGAUACUGAAGAUCUUGAGUUCGGGAGAGGUGAGUGGAACUGCGAGUGUAGAGGUGAAAUUCGUAGAUAUUCGCAAGAACACCAGUGGCGAAGGCGGCUCACUGGCCCGAUACUGACGCUGAGGCACGAAAGCGUGGGGAGCGAACAGG